rnacentral:rRNA from 1 species
CAGUAGCCACGGUAAUACGAAGGGUGCAAGCGUUAAUCGGAAUUACUGGGCGUAAAGCGUGCGUAGGCGGUGAGUUAAGUCUGCUGUGAAAUCCCCGGGCUCAACCUGGGAAUGGCAGUGGAUACUGGCUCGCUAGAGUGUGUCAGAGGAUGGUGGAAUUCCCGGUGUAGCGGUGAAAUGCGUAGAGAUCGGGAGGAACAUCGGUGGCGAAGGCGGCCAUCUGGGACAACACUGACGCUGAGGCACGAAAGCGUGGGGAGCAAACAGGAUUAGAUACCCGGGUAGUCCCUGUCUCUUAUAC